rnacentral:rRNA from 1 species
AUUGAACGCUGGCGGCAGGCCUAACACAUGCAAGUCGAGCGAGCGGCGGACGGGUGAGUAAUGUAUGGGGAACUGCCUGAUGGAGGGGGAUAACUACUGGAAACGGUGGCUAAUACCGCAUACCAUCGGAUGAGCCCAGAUGGGAUUAGCUUGUAGGUGGGGUAAAGGCUCACCUAGGCGACGAUCUCUAGCUGGUCUGAGAGGAUGAUCAGCCACACUGGGACUGAGACACGGCCCAGACGCCUACGGGAGGCAGCAGUGGGGAAUAUUGCACAAUGGGCGCAAGCCUGAUGAAGCCAUGCAGCGUGUAUGAAGAAGGCCUUAGGGUUGUAAAGUACUUUCAGCGGGGAGGCGUUACCCGCAGAAGAAGCACCGGCUAACUCCGUGCCAGCAGCCGCGGUAAUAC